rnacentral:rRNA from 1 species
AGUGAACGCUGGCGGUAGGCCUAACACAUGCAAGUCGAACGGCAGCACAGGAGAGCUUGCUCUCUGGGUGGCGAGUGGCGGACGGGUGAGGAAUACAUCGGAAUCUACUUUUUCGUGGGGGAUAACGUAGGGAAACUUACGCUAAUACCGCAUACGACCUACGGGUGAAAGCAGGGGACCUUCGGGCCUUGCGCGAUUGAAUGAGCCGAUGUCGGAUUAGCUAGUUGGUGGGGUAAAGGCCCACCAAGGCGACGAUCCGUAGCUGGUCUGAGAGGAUGAUCAGCCACACUGGAACUGAGACACGGUCCAGACUCCUACGGGAGGCAGCAGUGGGGAAUAUUGGACAAUGGGCGCAAGCCUGAUCCAGCCAUACCGCGUGGGUGAAGAAGGCCUUCGGGUUGUAAGGCCCUUUUGUUGGGAAAGAAAUCCAGCUGGCUAAUACCCGGUUGGGAUGACGGUACCCAAAGAAUAAGCACCGGCUAACUUCGUGCCAGCCGCCGCAGUAA